GAGGGUAUAGCUUGGUGGUAGAGUAGGUGCUUAGCAUGCACAGGUCCUGGGUUCAAUCCCUGGUACUUCCA
rnacentral:tRNA from 1 species